CUCCUUUGUUUUACCCAUCGAGGAGAGCAGAUGUGUACUUUGUUAAGCUGUCUCUUUUGUUACAAUUCAGAAAGGUUAAUUUAAGAAUUGUAUAAGGAUUAAGAAGAAAUAUUAUAUUAACUACUCUACGUAUAUGGUAAAUCCUGAACAGAAUACACUCUGUAAUCGCCACAAACUGAGGCUGUUUACUAGAUGCUGUUUUUACAUAAAUAAAUACGAGUGAACUUUAUUUGAGAUGUACUGUCUGUUAUUGACGUGUCGACCGCUACCCCACACUUUAUAGCUUGGGAGGCCAACUAUAUACAGCCUGUCUCAAUAUUGAAAUUACAAAUAAUGAUAUGGUAUCUCUUAGAACAUAUAGUGGUGAGAAGUUAACCCUCUAGAUACCG